UGAAAAUGAAACAAACAUAUUCCUAUUCGGUUAAGAAGUGAACAUUAAGUCUUCAAAUGAGAAAGUAAUCUAGGUAUAAGCUUCAAAAUUCUACACCACUUUAUAAUAAAUUAUGUUUUCUUAUUUAGCCAGUGAAGUAGUGUCAAAUGAUGUUGCUUUUAAGAAAGCUGAGAAAUUAAAAUCCUUUGCCCAAAUUGAAUGUUCAGAAUUUGGUGCAUUAGUUAACAAGUCUAAAUCUUCCUUCAUUUUCUUACUACAUUUGUGAAAGAUCUUUUUCUUUCUCUUUGAAACACAUAACUAUUCAAUUGGGAGUGUCAGUACCACUGCUGACUCAAUGCAACAGAUGUUGCACCUUGUUCCAUUGUCCUUUUUGUAGUGGUAAUGUUUUUAAGCCCUCCAAACUGGAAAAAUUAAAAAAGCAUUUGAAGAGUCAUUUCAAGAAGGCAGUUCUCCAUGAAGUAACAUGACAAAACGAAUAUCUUCAGGCACAUGGAUACUAAUUAAAAACAAGAAUCUUCCACAGCAGUUGGUUGGGUCAGUGGAUUGUGGAGUAUUCAUGUUGAUGGACAAAGGCGUUCACUAAAGGGGCACUGGAGAGUGUGAAUGAGACCCAGAGCAGUGAGGAGGAACCACUAAUAAAAAGGGACCUCCACACUGCAGUAAAAUGGUUGCGCCAACAUAGACAGUUGUUCAGAGGUGCCGUGUCUGAGCCCCAUUUUCUGGAGAUGGAGGAGGAGGACCAAAGCCGAGCUCUCCAGGACAUCAUCGAUGCAGUUGAAACUGAAGAUUUAAUUUUGGCAAAAGAACCCUUUAUAUUUAUUUUUCAGUUUAGGGAUGAUAUGGAACUUUUCACU